rnacentral:misc_RNA from 1 species
AUAUAUCAACCUCUUCAAGUUUUGCUUGUUGAGCGUUGGAUGUGGGGGUUUCUUUUGCUGGUCUCUCUUUCUGAGGUCGGCUCCCCUAAAAUGUAUUAGCGGAACAAUUUGUUGACCGUUCAUUGGUGUGAUAGACUAUCUACGCUAUUGACGUGAAGCAGGUUCAGCUUCUAAUAGUCCAUUGACUUGGACAAGUUUUCAUUA